rnacentral:rRNA from 1 species
UACGUAGGGUCCGAGCGUUGUCCGGAAUUAUUGGGCGUAAAGGGCUCGUAGGCGGUUUGUCGCGUCUGCUGUGAAAACUGGAGGCUCAACCUCCAGCCUGCAGUGGGUACGGGCAGACUAGAGUGCGGUAGGGGAGAUUGGAAUUCCUGGUGUAGCGGUGGAAUGCGCAGAUAUCAGGAGGAACACCGAUGGCGAAGGCAGAUCUCUGGGACGUAACUGACGCUGAGGAGCGAAAGCGUGGGGAGCGAACAGG